UAAAAUGCUGAAUUGUUUGAUUGCUGC
rnacentral:piRNA from 1 species